GGGCAACACACAGCUGACCCCAGAGGUCUGGCAGGGAGCUCAGCUGGAAAAGGCAGUCCACCUGGAAGAUUCGGGAACCUGAGGAAAAUCCUGUCCCAGAGCACACCAGACCAAGAAAUCCUGGAAUGUUCUAGCUGGCAAGAAACUUACACUCUGAGGGUAAAAGGAGUUGAUCAGGUUGAAAUUUCAGUCCUGGCCCUCCUGCUACACAUCGCGAAACAAAAGAGUACAUUUCAGCACAGAGGAGGAAAGUUACUUGGCUAAUAUCACACAGCAAACCAUGGCUCAGCUGAGAUUUCGUCACUGCCAGGCCCAAGCCUCACUUUUUGUCCUCCCCCUGAUGGGUAUCCUCUGGUGCCCAGGCUUGCCAGACCUAGUCCUGACUCUUCAUAAAAGAUGAACUCUU